UACGUAGGGUGCGAGCGUUGUCCGGAAUUAUUGGGCGUAAAGGGUGCGUAGGCGGUUUUGUAAGUCUUGUGUGAAAUCUUCAGGCUCAACUUGAAGACUGCACGAGAAACUGCAGGGCUUGAGUGUGGGAGAGGUGAGUGGAAUUCCUGGUGUAGCGGUGAAAUGCGUAGAUAUCAGGAGGAACACCUGUGGCGAAAGCGGCUCACUGGACCACAACUGACGCUGAUGCACGAAAGCGUGGGGAGCAAACAGG
rnacentral:rRNA from 1 species